GUUAACCAACGAAUUAUUGACUUUUAUCACUACUAUGUAACUUAAUUGUUCUUUGCCGUAGAUGAAAUGUCUUAAGUGAUCCUGCUAACACAACUUUACUACAGUUAUUGUGAACUGUGAGAGCUGUCAGGUUCAGGACUGUCAUUUAUACGUACUGCAAAAUAUUUUAAUAAAAAUGGAGAAUGGACCUCUUCCUGAGACACGAGAGGUGCUCUGCGAACACUUACUUGCCAAAGUACGCUAUCUUAACCCAGCCCUCGCAGACCAGGUGACAGACAUGUUGGUUGUUAAUAUAUCAAAUAAGGAGAUUAUUGAUCUGCUCACAUCUGAUGCAUUCUUAGAAGAGAAUGUUGAAAAAAUAGUUGCUUCCAUAUCUGAGCCAGAUUCUGAGUUGCGGGAAUCUCUUGGCAUGUCACUCUUCCAGGCUGUUUCAGUGCUUGAGAGUGAACUUUGUGCUCAGGUAACAGGGAUGCUGCUAGAACUACCCAUUCCUACUGUCACCCGGUUGCUGAGUGAUGUAGAAGCAUUGAAAGAAGCAGUUAACAAAGCCCGGAAUGAAUACCUAAGAUUUGUGAAGAAUGAACAGCCCUGGCCUUCAGGUCAUCAGCUUCACAGUGCUGCUGUACCCAGGGAGGAGAUCACACAACGGGGGUUCCCUCGGCACCACCCGUACCUCUUAGUAAUGAGAAAGAGGAGCUUGGAGAAGUUAUAUAUGAAAAAAUAGUUUCCAAAUAUCCCUCGGAGGCUGCCAAGUUGACGGGAAUGCUGUUGCAGAUGGAUUACAAAGAUCUUUAAUGCCGCAUGCAGGGGGGAAGAUCAACCACACCCAUCAGAAAAAAGAGCUCCAGGAACUUGGCCAUCUCCUCUUCACUACACAGGGCCCAAGCAUUUGUACCAAUGAAGGCAACAUACUGGUUCAUCUCCACAGUCAGGUACCACAGGAACUCCCUUAUGAAGAAUAUUUGGAAGAUCUGCAAGGGAGUUGUGGGAACUGGGAUGAGAAGACCUGGAGUUCCAGUGAAUGGACUGUCUGCAGGAGUGUACGGCCCUGCGCUCCGGCGUGCAUCACUUGUAGUGGGGAAGGGCUUCUAUACCACUAGGACACUAAAAGCAGUCCUAGACUUUGUUAUAUUUCACACACAGCCUGUUCAUCGAGCUUAUGGCGCCAUAAACCUCCGAUGUGGGACUAAUCGUGCCUCUUAGGUGAUCAGAGUAACGUUUUACCAAAUCCGGCUUCGAAACACGAGGUUCCAUAUAUAUUUCAUUAGCGCAUUAAGCGCUCGGACUUCUACAUAUAAUCAACAACCUCACAUUCCGUCAGCAGAACACACACACCCGUGCAUCCCUCACACACACUCUCUUGCC